rnacentral:rRNA from 1 species
GACGAACGCUGGCGGCGUGCUUAACACAUGCAAGUCGAACGCAUUGGCGCACGGGUGAGUAACGCGUAAUCCACCUGCCCUUCAGAGGGGGACCACAGUUGGAAACGACUGCUAAUACCGCAUACUGAAGGAGUGUAUUGCGUCUGAUUAGCUAGUUGGAGGGGUAACGGCCCACCAAGGCGAUGAUCAGUAGCCGGUCUGAGAGGAUGAAACGCCACAUGGGGACUGAGACACGGCCCAGACUCCUACGGGAGGCAGCAGUGGGGAAUCUUCGGCAAUGGACGAAAGUCUGACGGAGCAACGCCGCGUGAGGGAUGACGGCCUUCGGGUUGUAAAGCUCUGUUAAUCGGGACGCGGUACCGGAAUAGAAAGCCACGGCUAACUACGUGCCAGCCGCCGCGGUAAUAC